rnacentral:lncRNA from 1 species
AAAAACCGAUCCAAACCGAAAAACUAAACCAAACCGAUUUAAUUUGGGUUUUGGUUUGGUUUGGUUUUAGAUUGUUAAGAACCGAUAAUAUUUGGUUUGGUUAUGGUUUUGUUCGAAAAAAAUCGAAGAAAUAACCGAACCGAACCAACAAGUUAUAUACAUAAAUUUUAUUAUUAUACAUACAUAAUAUAUUAUAUUCAUAAACAAUUUUAAAGAUUUUAUAUAUGUUUCA